UAAUGAUCAUGGCUCAGAGUGACCGCUGGCUUUAGUGCCUAACACAUGCAAGUCGAACGGCAGCACAGAGGAGCUUGCUCCUUGUGGUUGGCGAGUGGCGGACGGGUGAGGAAUACAUCGGAAUCUACUCUGUCGUGGGGGAUAACGUAGGGAAACUUACGCUAAUACCGCAUACGACCUACGGGUGAAAGCAGGGGAUCUUCGGACCUUGCGCGAUUGAAUGAGCCGAUGUCGGAUUAGCUAGUUGGCGGGGUAAAGGCCCACCAAGGCGACGAUCCGUAGCUGGUCUGAGAGGAUGAUCAGCCACACUGGAACUGAG
rnacentral:rRNA from 1 species